UACGGAGGGUGCGAGCGUUGUCCGGAAUCAUUGGGCGUAAAGGGCGCGUAGGUGGCGGGAUAAGCGUGCGGUGAAAGCUCGGGGCUCAACCCCGAGUCGGCCGUGCGAACUAUCUUGCUUGAGCACUGUAGAGGCAGGCGGAAUUCCGGGUGUAGCGGUGGAAUGCGUAGAGACGCGAAGAACACCGGUGGCGAAGGCGGCCUGCUGGGCAGUAGCUGACACUGAGGCGCGACAGCGUGGGGAGCAAACAGG
rnacentral:rRNA from 1 species